UCUUUUCCUCUCUCAUUCACUCAGCCAUCUCUCUCAACUCUCUCAUCUCUCUCUAAAACGCUCCACCUGCUAGGCCAAUCUUCUCCCUUCUCCGGCCGUCUCCCUGCCGAAUUCAUGGUGGUCUCCCCACCCACCAGCCUCAUGUCUCUCUCUUGAAUGUGUUUCAUUGUUUUGAGGCCUUCAAGAGAAGCAGAGGCAGUUCACUCACCUCCCAUGGUUUCUCAUGCCAUUUUCUAGCCAUCCAUGGUCGUCAGAGUAAGAUUUUUACCGCUUUCCGAUUAACAUCGGUGAUUUUGAGUUACUUCUCCUUCUCUAUGGGUUCUCUUUGAAACCCUAACUACUAAACUCUCGAUUUUUUUAGUUCUGUGUAUAUCCAGAGUCAUCUUGCUAUUUUCCCUUAAAGGUCUUCCGAUUUUCUCAAAACGACUCUUCAUGAACUAGGGUUCUUAAACACCUUUUCAGAAAUGCUUCUUUCUUCUGAUUUUUCUAUUAAUCUGCAAGUCUCUAUGUUUAAAACGUUUAUUUAUGCUUUCUCCUCUAUUCGAGUUAUUCUGUUGAAAACCCUAAUUUCCUUAGUUCUAAUCCUAGGAUUCUGAGUUAUUUUUGAUAAUAUGUUCUAUUAUGUAUAUUGUUUUCUCAUGAAUAUUGUGAUUAUGUAAUUUUUACCCUAAGUUUGCUUGUUAGUGUUUCUGAUUUUUGUCUAUUUGUGAGUUUAUUCUGCAUGUUCUCAUAAGCUUGCGCCAAUUCUCCAUAAAUUAGUAUCGUUUUCCAUUUGUGAAUCCUUGGAUCUCUAUGAUUGAUACUUCACUGAUUUUGCAUAAUGUUGACUGCCUGAUUUCGAGUAUUUCCUUACUGUGUGCUAUUUUCCUUUAUUGAUAGUGAUUCCCUAUGGUUAGAACCUCAUUCGAGGACUCUCUUACUAAUUUUCGUAAUUAAACUUGUCCUGCCUUAUUUUUUGUGAAUAAACUUGCUGUCAAAUUAAUUCUUAUAUACUUUCAUUAAUUGAUAUAUUCUGUAUUUUGACUCAAUUAUAUGCUCUAUAAUUUUACUACCC
rnacentral:lncRNA from 1 species